GAUGAACGCUAGCGGCAGGCCUAAUGCAUGCAAGUCGAACGGUGUCUUCGGACAUAGUGGCGCACGGGUGCGUAACACGUAUGCAACCUACCUUACAUUGGGGGAUAGCCUUUCGAAAGGGAGAUUAAUACCGCAUAAGACAGUAGCUGGGCAUCCAGCAGCUGUUAAAGAUUUAUCGAUGUAAGCUGGGCAUGCGUCCAAUUAGCUAGUUGGUGAGGUAACGGCUCACCAAGGCAAUGAUUGGUAGGGGAACUGAGAGGUCAAUCCCCCACACUGGCACUGAGAUACGGGCCAGACUCCUACGGGAGGCAGCAGUAGGGAAUAUUGGGCAAUGGACGCAAGUCUGACCCAGCCAUGCCGCGUGCAGGAUGAAGGCGUUAUGCGUUGUAAACUGCUUUUAUACAGGAAGAGACGACUCUUGCGAGAGGCAUUGACGGUACUGUAUGAAUAAGCACCGGCUAACUCCGUGCCAGCAGCCGCGGUAACAC
rnacentral:rRNA from 1 species